UACGGAGGGUGCAAGCGUUGCUCGGAAUUAUUGGGCGUAAAGGGUAGGUAGGUGGUCUCGUUUGUCUGGGGUGAAAGCCUUGAGCUUAACUCAAGAAGUGCCUCAGAAACGGCGAGACUAGAGUUCUGGAGAGGGUCGUGGAAUUCCCGGUGUAGCGGUGAAAUGCGUAGAGAUCGGGAGGAACACCAGAGGCGAAGGCGGCGACCUGGACAGAUACUGACACUCAACUACGAAAGCGUGGGUAGCAAAC
rnacentral:rRNA from 1 species